rnacentral:rRNA from 1 species
CCCUUAGAUGUUCUGGGCCGCACGCGUGCUACACUGACCGGCGCAACAAGUUUCUUUCCUUGGCUCGAUAGGCCUGGGUAAUCUUUGAACGCCGGUCGUGAUGGGGAUAGAUCCUUGCAAUUUUUGAUCUUCAACGAGGAAUUCCUAGUAAAUGCGAGUCAUCAUCUCGCGUUGAUUACGUCCCUGCCCUUUGUACACACCGCCCGUCGCUCCUACCGAUUGAAUGGUCCGGUGAAGCGUUCGGACCGUGGCCUUUGGACGGUUCGCCGUCUGUUGGCUGCGGGAAGUUCGUUAAACCUUAUCAUUUAGAGGAAGGAGAAGUCGUANCA